rnacentral:rRNA from 1 species
AUUGCUAGUAAUCGCAGAUCAGCAUGCUGUGGUGAAUACGUUCCCGGGCCUUGUACACACCGCCCGUCACACCAUGGGAGUCGGUAACACCCAAAGUUGGUAGUCUAACCGCAAGGAGGACGCCGCCUAAGGUGGGAUUGAUGACUGGGGUGAAGUCGUAACAAGGUAAC